GCCAUUGGAGCAAUGCUGCUCCUCCACAGCCACAUGCAGGAUGGGUUCCCAGCAUCUUCUAUCCUCUAUGCUUCUACUUCUCUUCCUUUCAAGCUUCAUCCAAAUGGUAGCACUUGGACGUACACCAUCAUCGACCAAGUUGCUGUACAUAGUGUACAUGGGAGAGAGGCAACAGGAAGAUCCAGACCUUGUGACUGCGUCGCACCAUGAUAUGAUGUCUUCCGUACUGGGGAGCAAGGAGGAAGCUGUGAGUUCAAUUGUCUACAGCUAUAAGCAUGGCUUCUCGGGUUUUGCAGCCAUGCUUACAGAAUCUCAAGCAGAUCAAAUUGCAGGUUCUUCCUUCCUUCUUCAAGUUCUAAUAUGAUUAACCGCACAACUGAUGAGAACAA